rnacentral:rRNA from 1 species
GAUAAACGCUGGCGGCGUGCCUAACACAUGCAAGUCGAACGCGCUUUCUCGCAUGCUUCGUUAAGAAGCGAGCAAGAGAGCGAGUGGCGGACGGGUGAGUAACACAUGGGUCACCUACCUUUCAGUGAGGAAUACCGACGAGAAAUCGUCGACAAGACCGCAUAUGCUCUUUGCAAAGAGAGCAAAGUCCUUUCGCAAGAAGGGACGCUGGAAGAUGGGCCUGUGGCCGAUUAGCUAGUUGGUAGGGUAAUGGCCUACCAAGGCGACGAUCGGUAGCUGGUCUGAGAGGACGAUCAGCCACACUGGGAUUGAGAACGGCCCAGACUCCUACGGGAGGCAGCAGUGAGGAA